UACAGAGGAUCCAAGCGUUAUCCGGAUUUAUUGGGUUUAAAGGGUGCGCAGGCGGCUUAUUAAGUCAGAGGUGAAAGCCCGGAGCUUAACUCCGGAACUGCCUUUGAUACUGAUGAGCUUGAAUAUAGUUGAGGUGGGCGGAAUGUGUCAUGUAGCGGUGAAAUGCUUAGAUAUGACACAGAACACCAAUUGCGAAGGCAGCUCGCUAAACUAUUAUUGACGCUGAGGCACUAAAGCGUGGGGAUCAAACAGG
rnacentral:rRNA from 1 species